UACGUAGGGGGCAAGCGUUGUCCGGAUUUAUUGGGCGUAAAAGGCUUGUAGGUGGCCACGCCAAGUCGGAUGUGAAAUCUCCCGGCUCAACUGGGAGGGUCAUUCGAUCUGGCGGGCUCGAGGCCGGUAGGGGGAAGUGGAAUUCCCGGUGGUAGUGGUGGAAUGCGUAGAUAUCGGGAGGAACACCAGUGGCGGAAGGCGGCUUCCUGGAGCCGGUUCUGACACUGAGGAGCGAAAGC
rnacentral:rRNA from 1 species